rnacentral:rRNA from 1 species
GACGAACGCUGGCGGCGUGCUUAACACAUGCAAGUCGAGCGGAAAGGCCCUUCGGGGUACUCGAGCGGCGAACGGGUGAGUAACACGUGAGCAACCUGCCCUAGGCUUUGGGAUAACCCCGGGAAACCGGGGCUAAUGCCGAAUAGGACCUCCGGCCGCAUGGCUGGGGGUGGAAAGUUUUUCGGCCUGGGAUGGGCUCGCGGCCUAUCAGCUUGUUGGUGGGGUGAUGGCCUACCAAGGCGACGACGGGUAGCCGGCCUGAGAGGGCGACCGGCCACACUGGGACUGAGACACGGCCCAGACUCCUACGGGAGGCAGCAGUGGGGAAUAUUGCACAAUGGGCGGAAGCCUGAUGCAGCGACGCCGCGUGAGGGAUGACGGCCUUCGGGUUGUAAACCUCUUUCAGCAGGGACGAAGCGUAAGUGACGGUACCUGCAGAAGAAGCGCCGGCCAACUACGUGCCAGCAGCCGCCGUAA